rnacentral:lncRNA from 1 species
AGAAUACUACAAGAUAAAGUGAAGAAGAGAUUGCAGAACUAACAACAGCGCUGGGGCCACAGAGACGGGGUUUCACUACGUUGCCCAGGUUGGUCUGGAACUCCAGGACUCACUCAAUCUUCUAGCCUCGGCCUCCCAAGGUGCUGGGAUUACAGGCGUGAGCCACCGUGCCUACUCGAAUGAGGUUUUUGGCAUUGUGCUUGCACUGAAUAAAAGCAAGCAGCUCCAGCUUCUCCGGGCUGCUCUUUGGACACCAGAGCCAGGCAGUCACCUAGCUGCUCUUACAGUGCAUACCUGUGUCUGAAUGGUCAUUUCAUCCAUCUGCCAGCGUCUGCAGGACAGAGCCAGCAGGUGGUGCCCUGUGUGAGGAAUGCUGCAACAGAUUGUGACAAAACCCUCGAGAAUGAAAGUGAAGUGACUGCGCACCCCGCCGUUACCGAGUAAAGGUGCCACAGAGGAGACAAAUAUUUUCCCUGAGCCCUCUCUCCCAAUAUAUUGGAAAAAAUACAAGGGAUACACUACUGUUAUGGGACCCUGUCUUAGUCAAGUGGAAUUAGAAGGGAGCUCUUGACCUGCCCAGUGAUGCAAGAUCAACAAGACAAUCAGUAAGAAACGUACAAACAUUAAGAAGAGCCUAUUCAGAAAAGACAG